GGUUAAGUUAGAAAGGGCGCACGGUGGAUGCCUUGGCACUAGGAGCCGAAGAAGGACGGGACUAACACCGAUAUGCUUUGGGGAGCUGUACGUAAGCGUUGAUCCAGAGAUUUCCGAAUGGGGGAACCCACUAUCUUUAGUCGGAUAGUAUCCUUACGUGAAUACAUAGCGUGAGGAAGGCAGACCCAGGGAACUGAAACAUCUAAGUACCUGGAGGAAGAGAAAGAAAAAUCGAUUUCCUGAGUAGCGGCGAGCGAAACGGAAAGAGCCCAAACCAAGAAGCUUGCUUCUUGGGGUUGUAGGACACUCUAUACGGAGUUAC
rnacentral:rRNA from 1 species